ACUGCCUGCCCAGUGACUAAAGUUAAACGGCCGCGGUAUCCUGACCGUGCAAAGGUAGCAUAAUCACUUGUUCCUUAAUUAGGGACUGGUAUGAACGGCUAAACGAGAGCUCAACUGUCUCUUAUUUUUAAUCAGUGAAAUUGACAUCCCCGUGAAGAGGCGGGGAUACUGCAAUAAGACGAGAAGACCCUAUGGAGCUUUAAUUUACAUCUAAAUUUAACUACUAUUCCACCCUAUUGGACUAAAAACCUUAAAUAUUAGAUUAAAAUUUCGGUUGGGGUGACCUCGGAGCAUAAAAAACCCUCCGAACGAUAAUAACCAAGACUCACAAGUCAAAGUAAUUAAAACAAUCCAAUUGACCCAAUCUUUGAUCAACGGACCAAGUUACCCUAGGGAUAACAGCGCAAUCCUAUUUAAGAGUUCAUAUCGACAAUAGGGUUUACGACCUCGAUGUUGGAUCAGGACAUCCCAAUGGUGUAGCAGCUAUUAAUGGUUCGUUUG
rnacentral:rRNA from 1 species